rnacentral:tRNA from 1 species
GAGGGUAUGGCUCAGUGGUAGAGUAUGUGCUUAGCAUGCACGAGGUCCUAGGUUCAAUCCUCAGUACUUCCA